GGAGUUCCGGGACGUCCGGCUUCCUGGAAGCCGGCGGCUCUAGGAGAGUCCUCGUCGUCUGCCUGGCUGCAGAGACUUGGGCUUCGAAGCCCGGCGUGAUUGCCUCUUGCUUGGUGAAGUCCUCACUACAUCAUUAGCUCCAUGAGAGAAGAAGCCUUGUCCAACGAAUUCGCUGCUCUAAUUCCCAGAACAGGCCCGGGACACACAUGUGAGUCCGAAGCUUGGAGAAUCUUCACAACUAAGUUGUGUGUGGGAUCUAAGUCUGAUAUUUACCUCACUGGCUGAUGUGAGAUACGAAGGCGUUGAGAUCACUGGUGUCACAAGAUUGCAAAGAUCAGAAAGGAAGCACCUCAGGAUUAACACCUUAUUUAGAACGGAUAUUGUGGAGCUAGUCUAGAUGUCCAUACUCUAAUUCUUAUGAUGUCCUGUUAGGCCUCAUGAUAUCAAUAAAGUCUAAAAUUUUGCAAGCUA